rnacentral:rRNA from 1 species
GAGUUUGAUCUUGGCUCAGGACGAACGCUGGCGGCGUGCUUAACACAUGCAAGUCGAGCGGUAAGGCCUUUCGGGGUACACGAGCGGCGAACGGGUGAGUAACACGUGGGUGAUCUGCCCUGCACUUCGGGAUAAGCCUGGGAAACUGGGUCUAAUACCGGAUAUGACCUCCUAUCGCAUGGUGGGUGGUGGAAAGAUUUAUCGGUGCAGGAUGGGCCCGCGGCCUAUCAGCUUGUUGGUGGGGUAAUGGCCUACCAAGGCGACGACGGGUAACCGACCUGAGAGGGUGACCGGCCACACUGGGACUGAGACACGGCCCAGACUCCUACGGGAGGCAGCAGUGGGGAAUAUUGCACAAUGGGCGAAAGCCUGAUGCAGCGACGCCGCGUGAGGGAUGACGGCCUCGGUUGUAACCGUACUUCUAGC